UACGUAGGGGGCGAGCGUUGUCCGGAUUUACUGGGCGUAAAACGCUUGUAGGCGGCCACGCCAAGUCGGACGUGGAAUCUCCCGGCUUAACUGGGAGGGGUCGUUCGAUACUGGCGGGCUCGAGGCAGGUAGGGGGAAGCGGAAUUCACGGUGUAGCAGUGAAAUGCGUAGAGAUCGUGAGGAAGACCAGUGGCGAAGGCGGGUCUCUGGACAGUUCCUGACACUGAGGCACGAAGGCCAGGGGAGCAAACGGG
rnacentral:rRNA from 1 species